CAUUACAGAAAACAAAUUCCAUAUAUACGGACAAGCAAGUAAGCCAACAACCAAAAAAAAUGGAGAAACAAAUAUUUUAGAUGUUUAUAAUCGAAUAACAAGACAGAAGCCUUAAAAAAAUGGAGAUAAACAAUACUAGAGGUUUACCAUCCAAUAAAACAGGCUGACGCUUUAAGAUUCUUUCACAAGUCAUUCAUUUCGUCAAAAAUCAAAAUGGGUAGACGUAACCUGUCGUAAUCCCUUCGGUCAGGUCGUGCAUUAGGUGAAUUGAUAGUAUCAAGCACUAAGUGAUAAAAGUUAAUGUGAUGACAAAGUGAUUUUACGAAGUACAAUCCCAGAUGCCACUACACAAGUAAGAAGCCCCCAUGAUCUUACUCGGUGAAGAUAGCAUCCCCCACCGAAGCAAGAAAGGCAUGACAGCUCGGCGGUGACUCUACCUCCCGAGAGCACCGUCCGAUCACAAACUCGAGGCAUCAAAAAUGUGCAAACAGUUAGACCAAUCUGAUUCAAAUCAAACAGAAAAUUAGAAUUAACCAUGCUCCAUCAGCUUGCCUUACAGAGAGAUCGAUUAAUUAAUAACCAUUGCAUGGUAAAAAAACAAUAAUAAUAAUAUGGGCAUGAGCUGAAGUCUUAAACAACACGCAUCAGACGAAUUCGUGAACCAAAACUAUCGUUUGCAAGAUUAUGUACAAAAUUACACCCACUUGAUAAGGUUUUAUGUUAUUGUGUACCAACAAUACCAUUUACUCUCUAAGAUUUUCACGUUGUAAGAUCUCGCGCGUUGAAGUGAAUCAUUAUGAAGUGUAAGGCCAUUUGAACCAAAACAUAGUAAAAAAUAAUAAUUUAGCAAUGUGCUUCAAUAUUUGAUAUAGCUAAAAGGUCCCCUUGGUAAGAACACACAUGACAUCCAUUGAACAUUGCACAGAUGCAUUUUUUUCACACUGAUGUUGGAUGUUCGCAUUACUAUUCUCAUAGAAAAAAUUUCAUAUAUACAGACGCUACUAUAGUGAGUAAGCGAAAAAAAGAGAGAAACAAUGCUAAACAUUUACAGAAUAGAAAAAUAACAAGACGAAAGCCACAAACAACAAAAAAAAAUGAGAGAAACAAUAAUAGAUGUUUACCAUCAAAUCUUUAUCUUUAUAAAAAUUGAAGAUAUUUCUAUCAGCCGUUUGAUGCAUCGCCUGUAUCCAGUUUAACGUGAAUAACUAUUAUAUAUCCUCCUCCUAGCCUAGCCCAACCGACCCACACCAUAGUGCCGCUCUGCUUGCGCUCCUCUCCCAAUCAGUACCUUUUUUCUCUCCAUUUUUUCACUUUAUUUUUCUUCCAAUCAUCCUGAUCCUCUCCCUCUUCUUCUGAUCUCCUUUUUCUUCCGAUCAUCCUGAUCAUGUCCCUCUUCUUCUGAUCUUCUCUCCAUUAUCCUCUUUUUCUUUUUUUUCCUCUUUUUUUUCUCUUCCUAAUAUCUCUCGUAAAUACUUUCCUUUUGAAAUUAUCGUUGUUUAAGGUAGGUAUGAUGUUACUUUGCAAAUGCCCAAUCUACAGUAAAAAAACCUUUCACAAAUUGAAUAAUCAAAAUUUCAAUCUUUGGUCGAUGAUAAUAUCUCUUUAGCAAUCUAUAGCAAAUACCCAUGCAUCAAUUUACGGAUUAGCCACCCGAUCGAUUUGUGAGGCUAUUAAAAGGUGUAUAUAAGGGAUUUUUCGUAUGAUGAUGCAUGAAGCGAGCGCAACUGGAUUCAAUGCUAUAUGAUUUCUAACUUUGUUUUUCAUUGUUUUGUUUAUCUUGUUUCGUUUUAUCAUUUGAAUUGGCCGAGUUUUUAUCCAUCAUGAAAAUUAUAUUCACCUAUUGCAACGGACAUGCAUUUUUGCUAGUAAAAAAAAGGCUUGCUUUAAGAUUCUUUCACUAGUCAUUUAGUUUAAUCAAAAAUUAAAAAAAAAAGCUAGGGGGAUCCUAUCUUGAUCCCUCUAGUCAGGUUGUACAUUAGGCGAAUUGAUUUUAUCAAGUACUAGGUGGAAAAAAUUGUGAUGACAAAGCUACCCAACGAAGUACGCUCCAGUCGCCACUACAGAAAUAAAAAAUCUCCCAUGAGACUGGUCUCACUCGGUGAAGAUAGCAUUCCAAUGAUACAAGAAAGAUAUACCAGAUAGGUUGCAUCUCUAUCUCCAGUAGAGUAUGCGUACCGAUCUUCUACUUGAGACAUCAGUCCUAUCUUACUAUAUGAUUGGUGUCCACUAGCUCCUAAGGCUUAAUAUGACAGUGUGUCACAUUAUCACUAUCAUCCACUAGUAAUUAUUAUUUAAAAUAUUUGAAAUAUCAUUUAUAAUUUUGUUAUAUUUUUAAAACUCAAUAGGUAAAUAAUAUCAAAUCAUUAUCUUCAUAUUUUUUUCACACUUUUUAAACAGAUACAUCUACUAUUUUUAUAACGUAUAGUAUGCAUUCAUCUACAUAUAUCCCGCAGCAAAGCGUGAGAAAUUAACUGUAGUAGUUAACUAGACCGACAUAAUUCAAAUAGAACAGCAAAUAGAAUUAACUCGUCAGCACCAUCGAUAUGUCUUUCUUAGAUUGAUUAAUUAAAUAUCAGCAGGCGGAUCUAACUUGGGACCUGGGUCCAGUCUAACUUGGGAUUUGGUACACUAGGGUUAGGUGGGUGUCAGAGAGAGAUGAAUGAGAGAGGGAGGAUGUGCAUAACGGAUGGGAUUGCUUACCAGGAUGGAUAUGGCGCGGCGGGACGACGGCCGGCGUCGCGGCCUGCUUGCGAGAUAGAUCGGCGGCGUAAGGUGUGGGCGAACUCGGAAGGAAGGGAGACGACACGGGAGUUGACGGCUUGACCUAGAUGGCUAGAAAUUUUCGUC
rnacentral:lncRNA from 1 species